AUUGAACGCUGGCGGCAGGCCUAACACAUGCAAGUCGAGCGGAGCGGCGGACGGGUGAGUAAUGCCUAGGAAUCUGCCUGGUAGUGGGGGAUAACGUCAGGAAACGGGCGCUAAUACCGCAUCCUAUCAGAUGAGCCUAGGUCGGAUUAGCUAGAUGGUGGGGUAAAGGCAUACCAAGGCGCCGAUCCGUAACUGGUCUGAGAGGAUGAUCAGUCACACUGGAACUGAGACACGGUCCAGACGCCUACGGGAGGCAGCAGUGGGGAAUAUUGGACAAUGGGCGAAAGCCUGAUCCAGCCAUGCCGCGUGUGUGAAGAAGGUCUUCGGAUUGUAAAGUACUUUAAGUUGGGAGGCGUUACCAGCAGAAUAAGCACCGGCUAACUUCGUGCCAGCAGCCGCGGUAAUUC
rnacentral:rRNA from 1 species